GCACGCAGGCGGUCGCUUAAGUCUGGGGUGACAGUUCCCGGCCUAACCGGGAAAGUGCUCUGGAAACUGGACGACUUGAGGGCUUCAGAGGGAUGUGGAAUUCCAGGUGGAGUGGUGAAAUGCGUAGAGAUCUGGAAGAACACCAAAGGCGAAGGCAGCAUCCUGGGAAGUACCUGACGCUCGGGUGCGAAAGCUAGGGGAGCGAACGGGAUUAGAUACCCCGGUAGUCCUAGCCGUAAACGAUGACCACUAGACGUUGGAGGUAUCGACCCCUUCAGUGUCGUAGUUAACACGCUAAGUGGUCCGCCUGGGGAGUACGGUCGCAAGAUUAAAACUCAAAGGAAUUGACGGGGACCCGCACAAGCAGCGGAGCGUGUGGUUUAAUUCGAUGCAACGCGAAGCACCUUACCAGGACUUGACAUGUAUUCGCACCGACGGUAAUGCGUCGUGCUCUUCGGAGACGGAUACACAGGUGCUGCAUGGCUGUCGUCAGCUCGUGUCGUGAGAUGUUGGGUUCAGUCCCGCAACGAGCGCAACCCCUGUCGUUAGUU
rnacentral:rRNA from 1 species